AUUGACACUUUUUUGAAUAG
rnacentral:miRNA from 1 species